UACGGAAGGCAGCAGUGGGGAAUAUUGCACAAUGGGCGAAAGCCUGAUGCAGCUAUGCCGCGUGUAUGAAGAAGGCCUUAGGGUUGUAAAGUACUUUCAUCGGGGAGGAAAAACAAAACUAAUAAUUUUAUUUCUUGACGUUACCCGAAAAAGAAGCACCGGCUAACUCCGUGCCAGCAGCCGCGGUAAUACGGAGGGUGCUAGCGUUAAUCAGAAUUACUGGGCGUAAAGAGCACGUAGGUGGUUUUUUUAAAGUCAGAUGUGAAAUCCCUGGGCUUAACCUAGGAACUGCAUUUUGAAACUGAAAUACUAGAGUAUCGUAGAGGGAGGUAGAAUUCUGGGUGUAGCGGUGAAAUGCGUAGAUAUCUGGAGGAAUACCUGUGGCGAAAGCGGCCUCCUAAACGAAUACUGACACUGAGGUGCGAAAGCGUGGGGAGCAAACAGGGAUUAGAUACC
rnacentral:rRNA from 1 species